rnacentral:rRNA from 1 species
UGAGUAAUGUAUGGGGAUCUGCCUGAUGGCGGGGGAUAACUACUGGAAACGGUAGCUAAUACCGCAUAAUGUCUGCGGACCAAAGCGGGGGACCUCCGGGCCUCGCGCCAUCAGAUGAACCCAUAUGGGAUUAGCUAGUAGGUGGGGUAACGGCUCACCUAGGCGACGAUCCCUAGCUGGUCUGAGAGGAUGACCAGCCACACUGGAACUGAGACACGGUCCAG